UGCAAGUCGAACGAAGUAGCAAUACUUAGUGGCAGACGGGUGAGUAACAUGUAGGUAUCUGCCCUUUGGCCUGGAAUAACACGAGGAAACUUGUGCUAAUACCGGAUAAGUCUUUACGGAGAAAGCUUUAUGCACCAUUGGAUGAGCCUGCACUUGAUUAGUUUGUUGGUGGGGUAAUGGCCUACCAAGACUAUGAUCAAUAGCUGAUUUGAGAGGAUGAUCAGCCACAUUGGGACUGAGACACGGCCCAAACUCCUACGGGAGGCAGCAGUGGGGAAUCUUGCACAAUGGAGGAAACUCUGAUGCAGCGAUGCCGCGUGAGUGAAGAAGGCCCUUGGGUUGUAAAGCUCUUUCGUCGGGGAAGAAAAUGACUGUACCCGAAUAAGAAGGUCCGGCUAACUUCGUGCCAGCAGCCGCGGUAAUACGAAGGGACCUAGCGUAGUUCGGAAUUACUGGGCUUAAAGAGUUCGUAGGUGGUUGAAAAAGUUGGUGGUGAAAUCCCAGAGCUUAACUCUGGAACUGCCAUCAAAACUUUUCAGCUAGAGUAUGAUAGAGGAAAGCAGAAUUUCUAGUGUAGAGGUGAAAUUCGUAGAUAUUAGAAAGAAUACCAAUUGCGAAGGCAGCUUUCUGGAUCAUUACUGACACUGAGGAACGAAAGCAUGGGUAGCGAAGAGGAUUAGAUACCCUCGUAGUCCAUGCCGUAAACGAUGUGUGUUAGACGUUGGAAAUUUAUUUUCAGUG
rnacentral:rRNA from 1 species